GACCGAAAAACAAAUGAAACAUGAAACA
rnacentral:rRNA from 1 species